GACGAACGCUGGCGGCGCGCUUAACACAUGCAAGUCGAGCGAGAACCAGGACUUCGGUCCUGGGGACAGCGGCGAACGGGUGAGUAACACGUGGAUAACCUGCCCUCGGCACCGGGAUAGCCCGAGGAAACUCGGAUUAAUACCGGAUAGCCCUUCCGACUCUCGAGUCGGUCCGAAAAGGUAGCUUCGGCCUCUGGCCGAGGAUGGGUCCGCGGCGGAUUAGCUUGUUGGUGGGGUAACGGCCUACCAAGGCAUCGAUCCGUAGCUGGUCUGAGAGGACGAUCAGCCACACUGGGACUGAGACACGGCCCAGACUCCUACGGGAGGCAGCAGUGGGGAAUCUUGCGCAAUGGGCGAAAGCCUGACGCAGCGACGCCGCGUGAGGGAAGAAGGCCUGG
rnacentral:rRNA from 1 species